rnacentral:rRNA from 1 species
AUACGGAGGAUGCAAGCGUUAUCCGGAUUUAUUGGGUUUAAAGGGUGCGUAGGCGGUUUGCUAAGCGGGAGGUGAAAUGCCGGCGCUCAACGUCGGAAGUGCCUCCCGAACUGGUGGACUUGAAUGACUCUGCCGUGGGAGGAAUGUGUAGUGUAGCGGUGAAAUGCUUAGAGAUUACACAGAACACCGAUUGCGAAGGCAUCUCACGAAGGGUUGAUUGACGCUGAGGCACGAAAGCGUGGAGAUCAAACAGGAUUAGAUACCAUGGUAGUCCACGCAGUAAACGAUGAUGGCUAACCGAUGGUUUUUUCGGAUCAGUGGCCAAGCGAAAGCGAUAAGCCAUCCCCCGGGGGAGUACGACCGCAAGGUUGAAACUCAAAUGAAUUGGCGGGG